AGAACAAAGCGGCCGGCGCUGACAAAGGAGCCGCCGCUGCUGCUGGAGGGGUGAAUCACCCGUCAGGAGAGGCGCGGCAAGGCGAGGCGUGCGCACCGAGCUAGGGGCUUUUUACGCAGCGCAGGGGCAGUUGUAAGCUUGUUCGCAGGUGCGGUGGAGCGUGCGAAACUCCUCUGGCAAGUGUUGGCAACUGUUGGAGUGCUGUCACUUCCCUAAAACUUAAAAGCUCUCCUUUAAGGGGCGUACGUGCCGCUAUAGCUGCAGAGGUGCCGUCCGCAUGACGCAGCAGUUCCACCACCGGACCGGGAGCGGAUACCCCGCGGUGGAGCCGUCCGGUUCCGCUCCGCUCCAGUCCGGCCCAACCCGACCCUCUGGGGGCCGCUGUGGCCCCACCGUACGUGGCGGCGGCGGGUGGGCGGGGCGCUGGGCGUCACGCGCUGGCAACGGCUGGGAGCGUCUGCCAGGAGGCUGAGGUGGAGUAGCGGCUGUGUAAGCGGGUCGGCUGCCUUCAUAGCCAUCAUCUUUUAUUUAACCCCCGCUCCUCCCAGCCUUCCCCGAAGAGAAGCAGAACUACCUGCUUUUCCUUGGGUUCCAUGAGGAUUAGGCAUCAGAGAGAUGUGAGUCCAAGUUUACUGAAGAUAAGAACUGUAAAGAAGUGAAAAUUUUCUUGUGAAGAAAUUUGCAUGUUCAAAUUUGCAUCGAGUCUGCUCCUUUAUUCAUAAUGGCAGGAAGAGAAAAUCUUAUGUCGUGCCUAUGGAGGGGAAGAACUAUUCUACCUUUACUAGAAGACACACUUCAUUAAUAUGAGAACUCUUCAACAAAGAAAGCACAGACAAGCUCAACCACAGCACGUACAACAGCACUAAAAUGCUCUCCCCUACCAAGCACAGGUGCAUACUGAAGAACUGAAGCUCCCUUAAAAUGAUUUGCUUGACUAGCACAUAGGAAUUCUGCACUCUGUGUCAGAAGAAGUGUGUCAGAAGAAGCUUGUCAGAAGAAUUUUACACAACAGUUUCAUCAUCAAAAUGUCGAGCAGCUCUCCCAGCUAGAUUUCUGUGCUGCCGCGUGCUGUCACAAACAUGUUUCUUUGAAAGUUUUAAAACAACACUUCAGGCUUGCUUAUCCACUGUCAGGCUGAAGUCCACUAUGUAGGGGAAGAAAGGUAUUAAAUACAGAACAAAAUUACCAGUGCUGUAAAAUAGUAUUUCUCGCUGUGCCAAUGUUUUCUCUGACCUUUGGGACAGUGCUGUGAUGUCAGUGCUCUGCAGCUUUGCCCUAUUUUCUGCAGUGCUUACACUGGGCUAGAUCUGAUGGAAAUAAACAUCUUACAUAACAGUCCGGCUGUGCACUCAGCUUUUUACUUGUCUAUUUUUAUUUUAUUUUUGGCUUUUCUUUUCUGAAGGAGAUUUUCCCAGCAUGAAUUCCGCACAUACAAUUAAUGUUUGCCAAAUUUCAUCUUUAAAAUCUGUUAGGGUUUAUAAGAAGAUUAAGAGACAGAGCCGAUGUGCUUCAUCACCCUUCCCCUGUAAUCACACAGCUUUGUACUAGCAGAGAGAGCAAGAAGCAGGUUAAAAUUGCAAUAAUUCCCUUGAAAGGAGAACUAAAAUAGAAAAUGGGGAAUGUGAGACUUUGUACUAGUGGGAUUAUUUAAACCAAACCCUUUCAGGAAAGAACAAAGAUCAGAUACAGACUAUACUCACAGAUAAAAGAAAUGUUCUGAUUUGAUAGCUUUUGCUGUUAUGUUAGUAGCAAAGGCAAGGAUGAGCAGUUUUACUCAGUAGAGUCUUGGAUACUUUAUUUUCUUGUUUCAUGUAUUUGUUUUGACUGAAUAUGUACCAUGUAUGUAUACAGACAAGGACUGGAUAGGCAAGCUUCCUAAAGAGCAAAGGAGAAAAUAGGAAUAGAGAAAUAUUUUUAACAAAAACGAACACAUUAAUAUGUGCGUAUAUACCAAGAAAAAAUGCCAAAAUAUCUACAGUAAAUUGACAUUAUCUAAAUUAAAUACAUGAAAGGUUUUAAAACUGGUAAAGUUUGAAGAGAAAAUUUUCCAAAGCUGUCAGAAUUACUUGGUUU